rnacentral:rRNA from 1 species
CCUACGGGCGGCAGCAGUCGAGAAUCAUUCACAAUGGGGGAAACCCUGAUGGUGCGACGCCGCGUGGGGGAAUGAAGGUCUUCGGAUUGUAAACCCCUGUCAUGUGGGAGCAAAUUAAAAAGAUAGUACACAAGAGGAAGAGACGGCUAACUCUGUGCCAGCAGCCGCGGUAAUACAGAGGUCUCAAGCGUUGUUCGGAAUCACUGGGCGUAAGGCGUGCGUAGGCUGUUUCGUAAGUCGUGUGUGAAAGGCGCGGGCUCAACCCGCGGACGGCACAUGAUACUGCGAGACUAGAGUAAUGGAGGGGGAACCGGAAUUCUCGGUGUAGCAGUGAAAUGCGUAGAUAUCGAGAGGAACACUCGUGGCGAAGGCGGGUUCCUGGACAUUAACUGACGCUGAGGCACGAAGGCCAGGGGAGCGAAAGGGAUUAGAUACCCCAGUAGUC